CCUACGGGUGGCUGCAGUGGGGAAUAUUGGACAAUGGGCGAAAGCCUGAUCCAGCCAUGCCGCGUGUGUGAAGAAGGCCUUCGGGUUGUAAAGCACUUUCAGUGGGGAAGAAAGCCUUGGGGCUAAUACCCUCGAGGAAGGACAUCACCCACAGAAGAAGCACCGGCUAACUCUGUGCCAGCAGCCGCGGUAAUACGGAGGGUGCGAGCGUUAAUCGGAAUUACUGGGCGUAAAGCGCGCGUAGGCGGUCUGAUUAGCCGGUUGUGAAAGCCCCGGGCUCAACCUGGGAACGGCAUCCGGAACUGUCAGGCUAGAGUGCAGGAGAGGAAGGUAGAAUUCCCGGUGUAGCGGUGAAAUGCGUAGAGAUCGGGAGGAAUACCAGUGGCGAAGGCGGCCUUCUGGACUGACACUGACGCUGAGGUGCGAAAGCGUGGGUAGCAAACAGGAUUAGAUACCCGGGUAGUC
rnacentral:rRNA from 1 species